AUAUCAUGAUGUGGGCACUUCCUCAAUAACUCCUUGAAUCUGUCACAAGAAUCACACACCGACUCAUUCUCAAACUGUUGAAAAGAAAUAAUCUUAUAUUGAAACU